CAGCCGCCGCGGUAAUACGUAGGUGGCAAGCGUUGUCCGGAAUUAUUGGGCGUAAAGGGCUCGCAGGUGGUUUCUUAAGUCUGAUGUGAAAGCCCCCGGCUCAACCGGGGAGGGUCAUUGGAAACUGGGAAACUUGAGUGCAGAAGAGGAGAGUGGAAUUCCACGUGUAGCGGUGAAAUGCGUAGAGAUGUGGAGGAACACCAGUGGCGAAGGCGACUCUCUGGUCUGUAACUGACGCUGAGGAGCGAAAGCGUGGGGAGCGGACAGGAUUAGAUACCCCAGUAGUCCCUGUCUCUUAUAC
rnacentral:rRNA from 1 species